rnacentral:lncRNA from 1 species
AUGAACAUGAGUUUGACCAAAUGCCAGGAGAUAGUGAAGGACAGGGAGGCCUGGCGUGCUGCAGUGCAUGAGGUUGCGAAAUGUCAGACACGACUGAGCGUCUGAACAACAAUAACAAGUAACUGAAUGAACAGAGAGGGCGCUGCAUUUGGAGACUGAGAGACGGGGGUUCAAAUGCAGCUCUGCCCAGGUUUCCAGGUGACCUUGAGCAGCCCCUUCCCUUGCUGCCACCAGGCCUUGUACCACCAGCUCUGCCCACCUGGAGCUCCUGCGCCCGGUGUUUCUCUCUGCCUGGACACGCUCACCCAACUCUGAGAACAGGCCACCGCUGAGCUCCUGUGGAGACGUGCCACACAGGACCCCUCCAAGGAAGGACUUCAGGGCCAGCCUCUGCU